rnacentral:rRNA from 1 species
UACGGGAGGGGCAAGCGUUGUUCGGAAUUACUGGGCGUAAAGGGCUCGUAGGCGGCCAACUAAGUCAGACGUGAAAUCCCUCGGCUUAACCGGGGAACUGCAUCUGAUACUGGGUGACUUGAGUUCGGGAGAGGGCAGUGGAAUUCCUGGUGUAGCGGUGAAAUGCGUAGAUAUCAGGAGGAACACCGAUGGCGAAGGCAGCUGCCUGGCCUAGAACUGACGCUGAGGUGCGAAAGCGUGGGGAGCGAACAGG